CCCCCCGAAUAUAAGUCCCUCAAAUAUAAGCCCAAUAGCCCACUAUGUUAUUCAACAUUGACAUUGUCUUUUAAUAUAGCAGAGAACGAUAUUUAAAAACAUUGUCAUUGUCUUUAUAGCUUACUAUGUUUAAUGCAUGUUUAUUUUCCUGUUUAUGACCGACUUGUUUAUGUCUUACUUGCUUAUUACUAACACAAAAGAUCGUCCAUG